UACGGGGGGGGCAAGCGUUGUUCGGAAUUACUGGGCGUAAAGGGCUCGUAGGUGGCCAACUAGGUCAUACGUGAAAUCCCUCGGCUUAACCGGGGAACUGCGCCUGAUACUGGUUGGCUUGAGUUUGGGAGAGGGACGCGGAAUUCCAGGUGUAGCGGUGAAAUGCGUAGAUAUCUGGAGGAACACCGGUGGCGAAGGCGGCAUCCUGGACCGGUAUUGACGCUGAGGCGCGAAAGCCAGGGGAGCAAACGGG
rnacentral:rRNA from 1 species